rnacentral:rRNA from 1 species
AGAGUUUGAUCCUGGCUCAGGACGAACGCUGGCGGCGUGCUUAACACAUGCAAGUCGAGCGGAAAGGCCCUUCGGGGUACUCGAGCGGCGAACGGGUGAGUAACACGUGAGCAACCUGCCCCUGGCUCUGGGAUAGCCUCCGGAAACGGGGAUUAAUACCGGAUAUGACCUCUUCAUGCAUGUGGGGGGGUGGAAAGUUU